AACGAACGCUGGCGGCAGGCUUAACACAUGCAAGUCGAGCGCCCCGCAAGGGGAGCGGCAGACGGGUGAGUAACACGUGGGAAUCUACCCAUCCCUACGGAACAACUCCGGGAAACUGGAGCUAAUACCGUAUACGCCCUUUGGGGGAAAGAUUUAUCGGGGAUGGAUGAGCCCGCGUCGGAUUAGCUAGUUGGUGGGGUAAAGGCCUACCAAGGCGACGAUCCGUAGCUGGUCUGAGAGGAUGAUCAGCCACGCUGGGACUGAGACACGGCCCAGACUCCUACGGGAGGCAGCAGUGGGGAAUAUUGGACAAUGGGCGCAAGCCUGAUCCAGCCAUGCCGCGUGAGUGAUGAAGGCCUUAGGGUUGUAAAGCUCUUUCGCCAGGGACGAUAAUGACGGUACCUGGAUAAGAAGCCCCGGCUAACUUCGUGCCAGCCGCCGCAGUAA
rnacentral:rRNA from 1 species